CCGAUUGAUGCUGAGGAUCUUACUGAAAAGAUCCUUGACGGUCUUGAUGAUGAAUACAAAUCUAUUGUUGACAUCAUCAAUGGCCGCGAUACACCUAUUUCCUUUCAUGAGCUCCAUGAAAAGCUGAUCAACA